rnacentral:rRNA from 1 species
UCUGGUUGAUCCUGCCAGUAGUCAUAUGCUUGUCUCAAAGAUUAAGCCAUGCAUGUCUAAGUAUAAAUAGUAUACAGUGAAACUGCGAAUGGCUCAUUAAAACAGUUAUAGUUUAUUUGAUAAUUGAAAAUUACAUGGAUAACCGUGGUAAUUCUAGAGCUAAUACAUGCUUAAAGGCCCGACUUUUUGGAAGGGUUGUAUUUAUUAGACUGAAGCCAAUAUUCUUUGUGUCUAUUGUGGUGAUUCAUAAUAACUGAUCGAAUCUCUUAUUGAGAUAAAUCAUUCAAGUUUCUGCCCUAUCAGCUUUCGAUGGUAGUGUAUUGGACUACCAUGGCAGUAACGGGUAACGAAGAAUUAGGGUUCGAUUUCGGAGAGGGAGCAUGAGAAACGGCUACCACAUCUAAGGAAGGCAGCAGGCGCGUAAAUUACCCAAUCCUGACUCAGGGAGGUAGUGACAAGAAAUAGCAAACUGGGGACCUCACGGUCUCACGGUAUUGCAAUGAGAACAAUUUAGAACACUUAGCGAGGAUCAAGUGGAGGACAAGUCUGGUGCCAGCACCCGCGGUAAUUCCAGCUCCACUAGCGUAUAUUAAAGUUGUUGCAGUUAAAAAGCUCGUAGUUGAACCUCUGUCUGGGGCUAAUUUUGGCUUAGGUCAGGUUAGUUCUAGGCAUCCGCCUACAAGACUUAGAGGGCAUUUACUUGUUCACUAGGAGGAGUAGGCAUUUUACUUUGAAAAAAUUAGAGUGUUUAAGGCAGGCAAUAGCUCGCAUAUAUUAGCAUGGAAUAAUAGAAUAGGACACUUUUCCAUUUCGUUGGUUAUUGGAAUCGUGUAAUGAUUAAUAGGGACAGUUGUGGGCAUUUGUAUUUAAUUGUCAGAGGUGAAAUUCUUGGAUUUAUUAAAGACAAACUAACGCGAAAGCAUUUGCCAAGGAUGUUUUCAUUAAUCAAGAACGAAAGUUAGGGGAUCAAAGACGAUCAGAUACCGUCCUAGUCUUAACUAUAAACUAUUCCGACUCAAUGUUUGACUGGCUUAUAUAACCAGUUGAGCGUUGUAUGAGAAAUCAAAGUCUUUAGGUUCUGGGGGGAGUAUGGUUGCAAAGCUGAAACUUAAAGGAAUUGACGGAAGAGCACAACCAGGAGUGGAUUCUGCGGCUUAAUUUGACUCAACACGGGGAAACUUACCAGGUUAAAACAAUAGUGGGAUUGACAGUUUGAGAGCGCUUUCUUGAUUUGUUGGGUGGUGGUGCAUGGCCGUUCUUAGUUGGUGGAGUGAUUUGUCUGCUUAAUUGCGUUAACGAACGAGACCUUAACCUGCUUACUAGACUAAUGAUCAGUAAUCGUUAGCUCUUCUUAGAG